CACACACGGAAUUCGGGAUGGUCCUCCGAGCGAUCGGGGAACCCGCCCACCGGUGGCAGCCAGACGGCUGCUUCUUUUCCGUGGAGGCUCAACCGGUAAAAGGACCCUU
rnacentral:sRNA from 1 species